rnacentral:rRNA from 1 species
UACGAAGGGGGCUAGCGUUGCUCGGAAUCACUGGGCGUAAAGGGCGCGUAGGCGGCCAUUCAAGUCGGGGGUGAAAGCCCAGGGCUCGAACCCUGGAAUUGCCUUCGAUACUGUUUGGCUAGAGACCGGAAGAGGUUAGUGGAACUGCGAGUGUAGAGGUGAAAUUCGUAGAUAUUCGCAAGAACACCAGUGGCGAAGGCGGCUAACUGGUCCGGUUCUGACGCUGAGGCGCGAAAGCGUGGGGAGCAAACAGGG